rnacentral:lncRNA from 1 species
GGGAAAGUGGACUGUGAGGGACGAGCGACGUGGCGCGGGCUCAGCUUCCAGGCUGAGUCUCAGGCAGCGGCCAGGGAAGCCCUGUGUGAGACUCGAGAAGGGAGCAAGCAUGGCCCAAGGAGACAUUUCCCUGGCGUCCAGAGCGAGCAGCUGUUUCAGCUCUGAUCUUGCCUUUGUCUGGAGCAGCUUCAUGGCUCAACUCAUUCUUUCAGAUGGGCCCAGUCACCUCACUGUCCCUGAUAGGACUUGCUGGGGUUAAAAUCAAAGCGAAGUCAAGCAUAGUUUAGGAAUAGGGCUGCAGUGGAAGUGACAGAAGAGGGGCUACAUGUGCCUUAAUAAACCAUAGGCAAAUUCGAGGGGACUGAGCCAAAGGGAAGCUUUAAAGGCAAAAUGAAGAGGACUACAGAGGAUGUUUUGGAAUAAUAAUCUUUGGUCACAAUGAUCAGUAAUAAAGAUGACAUCACAUAGAGGUUGGAACAUAUAAUUGGGGGCAGAGUUCCUUGAAGUACUGGAGCUUGAACUACAUCCCCAGCCAAAGUCUUGCUCAACUGCCCUGGCUGGCCUGGAACUUGCAAUCCUCCUGCCUCAGCCUCCUAAUGCUGGAAUUAUAGACAUGUAGCCCCACACCAAGCCAAAGUACUUUAUGUAUAAGGUUGUGGUGGCUGUUGUGCGAGCUAUGCUUCUGGUGGAGCCUUUUGUGAGUGCUACUAUCAGGCAACCACACACAAGAAGCCUUCUUUCACAACUUCCUGGCUUUGCUUCUCUUAGGGUUGACAGCUAAGCGACUCCACUCUGAUUCUGACAACUUUCACGGAACUCCGGGAACUGCCUCUCCCUAGGCCUGGCCCUGCUCACACGUGGUCUGUGGCUGAGAUAGCACUCAGCCACAGGUGGUUUCUGAGGCUGGUGACCUUUGAGGAUGUGGCUGCGGACUGCACACUGGAGGACCCUGUACUUGAGCGGAAUGAGACGUGGAGGUUCUGCAUCACCUCGUCUUCCUGUCUCCUUUGGGACCCCACAGGUGAGCUGCAUGCUUUGCCCCAGUGUUUACAUGGAGCCUGUGGGGCCUCUGCCUCCAUUGGGGCUAGCCAGGGAGGCUGCGUGGCUUUCCAGUACAUGUCUCGGUGCCAGCCAUUUCUCCUGCCACCACAGAGCCACCGCUGGUCCUGUUCACAAUCCUACCCUUUGUUGGGGGCCACAGACCUGGCCUGAGGGUUCUGCCUCUGGCUGCACUAUGUCUCCUUGGAGACCCUGUGGAGAAGGGCCUGUCAGGUGGCAGCACUGGUCUCACAAUCCCAAGUUUCUGUCUGUGGUGCUGGGGAUUGAAUUGGAAUCAUGCAUGCUAGAAAAGUAAAAGUGCUCUAAUCCUGAGCUUACCUCUAACUUCUCAACUUUUCUUUUUUUUUCUGUCAUACUGAGGAUUGAAUCCAGGUCCUUCACACUGAGCUACAUCACCAGCACCUUUUAAUUUUUUGUUCAGAGACAGGGUCUUGGUGAGUUGUUAAGUUACCCAGACAGGGCUCCAGCAUGCAAUCACCUGCCUUGACCACCCAGAGUGCUAGAAUUAGUCAUGUACCACCACACCUGUGUUCAACUUUCCAUUCCUUUUUUUUUUUUUGGACUGGGAGUCAAACUCAGAGCCUUGUGCUUGCCAGGCAGGCACUGUGCCACUGAGCUACAUCCCCAGCCAAGUUUCCAUUCUUUACAUCCAAGCCUUUAUCCUCCUCUGGAUACCAGGUGUAGGCAGGCAUGACUUGCAGAUUGUAUCUCCUGGGGGGUCUGAGCAUGUGUGUCACCCUGCACUAGAUGCUGGCUGGUCAAAGUGUGGUCACAAAGUGUCCCCAGGCCCCAGAUCUGCUGCCUGCAGGCAAGUCUCUGCAUUUUCUCAUCCCUGCCCUAGGAACUGAGCACUGGGGUGGGAUGUGGGUGUAGAGGAGUCACAGGAAGAAGAUGGAGACAAACUUGUGUGGAUGGCAUCUCCAGAAACAUGGUGUGCUGGGCUCUGGCUUGUCCUCUGCAAUGCUGUCCUGGGGUGGAAGGGCUGGGCAGGAUGGAGAGGGAGGGCAGACCUGCCCCAGGCCAGACCUCAACCCAGAAGUGCCCCCAGCCCACAGCCUUGUCCCCAGGCCCAGCCACCCCGUCUGACCACCCUGGGCCUGCUCUCCUUGACCCCAAGCAAGGCCCUACUGAACAUCUACCUGAGUGUCAAGUGUGUCCCUGGGUACCUCACAGUUCUCUGCCCCUGAGCAAAGGACUGAAACAAGACCAUUUUCGCCCUCUGCCUCACAAGCGGAAGGACUCGAGUUCGAUCACCGGUACCAAAAAAAACAACAACACAAAGAAACAAGACCAUUUUAUGGAAGGAAAAUGAAGGCACUGAGCAUCUCUGGGAAGCAAAUUCCCCCAGUACCACCUACCCAGGACUAGACCUCCAGCCACCAUGAAGACAGCAGUGCUCAAGUGGAUGGAUGGGGUGGCUGGUACCCCAUUAAGGCACCCAUGUGGACAGUGGUGGGGUGACCCACAGCCCCUGGAAUUAGUCUGGGAGUGGGAUGCCCCCACUGGGCACUGCUGUGGGUAUCCAGACAGCUGCUGUGGAUCUGGCUGCUCAGGGAGAAGGCAGCUUGUAGCAGGAAGCCCAAGACUUCCAGGCCCACUGGUGGUCAGGCCCAGCUCAGCCUUGAUAACAGGAUAGCAUGGCACCUGCCCAGGCAAAGCUUUUGUCAAACAGAACAACAAACACCUCAUAGUGUCCCUAAGGCACCUCCACCUCCACGUCUUCCCUCCCAGCUCCAGGCAGGGCAAGGGGCUUGGGGCUCUGCAGGAAGUGGUUUCUUGAUUUGAGUCUGAGGCUUCCGAUUUUGCCUCUGGGAUGAAGCUGCUCCAACAGGAUGACCAGGCUGGGUCUCUGUGGGUAGACACAGGGCUGUGCUCCCCUAGUUUCUUGUCGAGUCCCCUAAUGUGGGCAGAGUGGGCUGAGGAACAGCAAGUCCAGGCAGUGCUAGCAGGGAUGGGGAGCAGCUCUGAGUGACAGCAUCAGCUCAGGUUUCCUAGGGGCCUUUCGUGCCUCCUCCAGCACCCAAGAGAAAGGGACUCGAUCGCCCUGCUUGCAGACUGGGAAUCCAGCAGAGUAAGUAAAUCAAAUGCUGUGGUGCCAGUUACUGGGAGGCAGGUAUUUGGACCUCUGUGACAUCAGAAAUUUUUUUUUUAGAGAGGUCUGAGUCUUCAGCUCCAUCCAAUAAAUGCAGAGGGCCAUUAAUCCCAUUUAGAGUGGGCUCUACAAUGUCCUGAGAUGGCAGCUGCGAUCUGGAAUGGUGCCAGCAGCCCAGUAGCUCCUGAGCACUAGAGACAUUGCUGUCGAGCUGCAACUGCUACUGUAAUUUCAUUUUUCUUGUGCUGGGGAUUGAACCCAGGGCUUUGCACAUGCUAAAAUGUGUCCAACCACCGAGCUAUGCUUCAACUCCUGUACUUUUUAAUUUUUUUUGGUACCGGGAUUGAACUCAGGAACUUGUGCUUGCGAGGCAGGCACGUUGUCACUGAGCUAAAUCCCCAGCUGUACUUUUAAAAAUUUAAUUAACUGCAGCUGCUGUGUGGGACAGCUCAGGAGGAUAUUUCAGCACCGCGGACAGCUCCCCACACCGCUUCCGGGGAUGGUGCCCGGCUACUGCUGACUGACAUCGCUGCAGCUUCCCAGUUCUGCCUGUUCCUGAGCUUCCUCAGAGUGAAUUGUGUGCCCUGUAAUAGUCCGACGCCUAAGCUCCACACUGUCAGCCUUCAGGAUGUUUCUGUAGGGACAGUGUCUGACACCGGAUGGGGUCUCAUUGUGUUACUCAGACUGGCCUCAAACUCCAGGGCUCAAGUAACCCUCCUGCCUCAGUCUCCUGAGUAGCUGGGACAGCAGGUGCCCAGCUCUGGUGACUUACAGGGACAGUAUGCCAACUGUGCCCUGACAGCUGGGCAGUGACAGAUGCUUAAAGGAGUCAAACUAUGGCAUAUCCAUCCAACUGGGUAUUUCCAGCCAGAGAAGGAACAAAGAACGGACACCUGCUACAGCAUGGAUGGACUCCGGAAAACAUGCUCAGUGAAAAACGACAGAAAGCACAAAUUGUGCAUCUCCAUUUAUAUGAUGAGCCCAGAGGAGAAAAUCUGGAGAUAGAAAGGAAGUUGGUGGCUGUCAGGGACUGGGGCAGGUGGGACUGGGGAGCAGCCCAGGGGUGUAGGGCACACUCACACCGGAGGUGACACCUGGCACACAGAUGGCGUUACACAUGCAGGACACCCUCCACCCUGGUGUGCUUAUAGGGGAUGGCACAAGCUUGGGUCCCCACCCUAUAGGGCAGUGUCACACUCGGCCCACACCUGGAGCUCUCCCACGUGCACGGCGGAGUCAGAUGCAGGACAUCCCUCCUCCCGUGCAUGCCGGAGACCCCAGGCCGACUCCCUCUGCACCCCAUCUGUGUACUGCGUUGCUUGCACUGCAGUUGGGGAUGGGUGGAUCACUUGAGCCUAGUUUGAGACCAGCCUGGCAAAUGUAGUUCCCACUGACCCUGAAUAUUUCUCCACUACAUUAAACACUUUUGGACAACUAUUUAAAAAAUGUCUCUAUUGUAUGCAUCAUUGUAUUAUUCUGAUGACAGAUACUGAACCCAGGGCCUUGCACAAGGGUUUUACCACUGAGCACUCUGCCACCCCCCACUGUGUGAAUUUAUCGUUUACCUCCCACUUAGUUGGAAAUUGACCAAUUGUUGUUUUUUCUGUAUGUCCUUAAUGACUGCCUAAAAAUAAUGGGUAGAUCCUGUCCCCACUGGUGGUGAUGCAAACCAACUUAGCUAGGUGAGGGAUGUCCUUGAUAUAACUGUGACACUUGAAAACUUCAUCCACAUGCAGGCCUGUGUGAUCUGGAGUGAUUCCCGAUGUCACAAGGGUAAAUUUAACAAGUCAUCUCAGCUCAGUUUGUAUCAGUAGUAUCCAACAGAACUUUCUGCGACAAUGAAAAUGAAACUAGUGAAAAGCUGAAAGGUGGCUAGUGAGUGAUGCACUGAAUUUUGUGUUUAAAUUCAUAG